GACGAACGCUGGCGGCGUGCCUAAUACAUGCAAGUAGAACGCAGUUGCGAACGGGUGAGUAACGCGUAGGUAACUGCCUCAUAGCGGGGGAUAACUAUUUGAAACGUUAGCUAAUACCGCAUCCUGUGAGCUGGACCUGCGUUGUAUUGGCUAGUGGGUGAGGUAAAGGCUCACCAAUGCGACGAUACAUUGCCGAACUGAGAGGGGGUGCGGACACACUGGGACUGAGACACGGCCCAGACUCCUACGGGAGGCAGCAGUAGGGAAUUUUCGGCAAUGGACGGAAGUCUGACCGAGGAACGCCGCGUGAGUGAAGAAGGUUUUCGGAGCGUAAAGCGCUGUUGUUAGAGAAGCGGUAACUAAAGAGAAAGGGACGGCUAACUACGUGCCAGCAGCCGCGGUAAUAG
rnacentral:rRNA from 1 species